ACCCAGCCACUGCUCCUGGGCACAGAGCUGAAGGGGAACUGGAGGCUGCGGCGUUCCUCUCUCCGUUCCCCUCUCUCUGGUGACUCGUGAUAACGAACCGACCUUUUGGAGACAUUCUGUGCCCUCAACAAAAGCGGCCCCUGUCUGGAAACCCCCCCGAGGGAGACUGACUUCCUCCCCUGCUGCCUGGGCUGCGGUAGCUCUUCCGGCACCUGCUCUUCAGGCACCUGCCCUGUGCUGGCCCCUCCUGCAACAAUCGGGAGCCCUCACCUCAGUCGGCGCUGCAGAACCAGCCCAGGAGAGCAGCUGGCCUGUCAUCUGCUGAGGAGCGGAGGCGGCUGUGCCCAGGACUGCAAUGGCCUCCCACACUACCUCACUACCCUGGUCCAGGCUCACUGACAGAUGAGGAAACUGAGGCAGGGGCCCCGGUCUCACGGCCAUUGGUGCAGAGCUGGGAUCCACGACCAGGUGGGCUCUUUGUUA
rnacentral:lncRNA from 10 species